AUCGAAAAUACACGUUACAUUUAACUUUAAUUAAAAACUUAUAUACCGCCAUCUUAAGAAUUAAUUUAAAAAUAUUUCUCAAAAAAACAAUUAAAAAGUUAGGUCAAGGUGUAAUCCAUAUUAAAGAAUUAAAUGAAUUACAUUAAAUAAAAUUUAAAGAUUUUAAAUAAAUUUAUUCAUUUAAAUAAGAAUUUAAAAGUAAUACUAUAAUAAUAUUAUAAUAUGAUUAGGAUAAUAGAUGUGUACACAUCGCCC
rnacentral:rRNA from 1 species